CACUGGGGAUUGGGUUCCAACAAAUGAAUUUUUUAGGGACUCAAAUUUCAGUCCAUAAUAACUCUGCUUUUUAAAAGCGAUUUGUAAUCUGUAUUUUCAUUAAGACUAUCGUAUUUGAAUUGUAUGAAAGUCCUAAAAAGUAUUCAGGAACAGAUAUGAUGGGCUCUAUUUUAUGGACAAUGUCACUUGAGCUUUGAUCCACUUCUCUAAAUUACUAAAGGGAAAGGUGGAUCAUAGUGUCAGCCUCAAUGCCCAGACUUUCUGUUUCUCCUUUCCUUCUGCACAGUUGGUGGGCUGCCAUAUUGUCGUGGUUAAGCAUAAGGCCAUAGGGUCUGGAUCCCAAUCACCCACUUACUUGCUACACUGAGAGAUGCAGAAAUUGAAGCCCAGAGAUGUCAAGUAACUGGCCCAGGCCACAGAGCUCAGCAGUGGGAGAGCCAGGUCCCCACACACUUUGGGAGAUGGAGGAUGAGCCAACCAUCCCAAAACCACCUUGCAAGUCCUGCGUAUGCAGACUGGAUUCAACUUCACUUUGGAACAGAGGAUACUUGACACCUUUUUUCCUGCGGCCCUGGAGGCCCAAGCCAUGACUGAGGUUCAUUUAAUCUGAUAGAUGGUGUAAACCGCCAAGUAACGCCGCUGGAAUCUCACAAAGAUGAGUAAUGCUGGGGCACCUGGGUGGCUCCGUAGGCGAAGCGUCUGCCUUCGGCUCAGGAAUAAUAGAUGAGAAAACUCACCUGCCUUUGUUGUGAGCAAAUUGGAGAGAGGUUUCCCACACUUCAUGGUGCUGUACCCUGAAAAGCCAGAAGGAAAAAAUCAGAAAUGAUGAUGACGAUGAUACCGCCAGUAGCCUUGACCAUGAUGCAUCAUUUCCACAUUGCCCUGUGAGAGAUGAGACUGUCAUCCGAGGUGCAUGCCAGGACUACAUGGAUGAAGACACUGCGUGGCUCUCGUCGCUCGGGAGUGCCACAGCCCAGCUCAGCGAGAUGACAAUGAGACAUCUGUGAACUUAUAAAUAUCAAAGUUGAUGCGUAACAUGAGGGCCUCAGAAGCUCUGCUUCAUACUCAGGUCAGAGGGCAACAUCCAGCCGUUAGGCUGGGCAACAGUGAGCUCACAGAAGACUGUGUAUUCUCGGUAGGGCUGAGAGCACACAUCUUUCCCCCCCACCAUCGUGUUUGUGAACACACUCAGAGACAACGAUGUCUUUCUCUGGCUGAGCUCAACUCAGAAUGAGCAACCCAACCUGAAAAGACACCUACAUUUUUUAAACUCUCUUUCAAAUCCACCUGACUCUUGAGUUUCAGGAAAUCAAUGCUGACGGAGAAAAUCUGCAUCCACGUUGUGUGAUAAAACUAUGAAGCUGGAGGAGCUAGUUUAUAAUUCUGAACUCAUCCCAUCCUGGUGUGAGCUCCUUCCAUGAUCUGCACUCAUUUUAUUGAAGGGAGAGUAAGUUCAGAGGUCGUCAGCACCAGAAACUAGAGCAGUAACAGCAGCAACCAGACAAGGCAGCCUUCCUUUGACAGCAGAACUCGAGGGACUUGCUCAAAUCCAGGGAGGCACAGGUGAUUGCUGCUGACUGGAGACCUGGAAAUCACAGGAGAAACCACCUGGCUGAGGCUUUCCUCUGCCCUCUGGAAGCUUACAUCUGUGGGGAAUAGAAGACAGGCACAUUCGAACCACCCGAAGCUGUAGACCAGCUAUGCCAUCCAGCAACUCUUUCUUAUCAGGAAUCGGCAGGACACGUUAAGAAAAGGGUAAUUAUUUAUUAAUGGUCACUUGAAACCUGGGGUUUCCUCGCAUAAUUUCAAAACACACAGGGCCAUUUACUUUUAAGCGGUUUCCAGACUUUGAUAGAUUGAAUAUUCUUUUGUGCUGGCAAAGGCAUAAAUGCAGAGAUGCUAACCAGAGUAACUAUAGAAACUAUACUACCCCAGCCCAGCCUCAGAAAUCUCUGGACAAUCAUUCACAUGAAGGAAACAUCAAGGCGAUAGAAAAACCAUCUGGUCUCUACAGCGAGCACACUUGAACAGCUUGUAAAGGAAAAAAAUUAAACCUCACUAAAAAAAUCUGGCACAUGAUAAACACAAGAUUUUUAUGUUUAUCAGCCAGUUGCUACAGACCAAGAUCAAUACACAAAGAGAAGAAGGACCAUCAGAAUCUAAUACCUCUGGCUGCAAUGAAAAGAUGAGCAGAAGAAACUUGAAAUGGAAACUGAUUAUAGUUAUACUGCCCCAAACACUGCUCGCAAGAAAGCUAUUUAUUUUCUUUACAGAUGAUGGGAAAUCCAAACAGAAUAAAAUUAUACAGGAUGUUGCAAAGCAAAGCACUUCUUGGGGUGUUUCCACUUCAGAUGGAAACAAAAUGCAACCACAGCCCAUGAGGGGAGUCUGUUCGGCUGUGAUGUCAAAGGCAAUUUUGCAGAUUUGAAGGUGACGAACAAUCCAAGGAUGAUUUCAACCCAAGCCUGUCCAUGGAAUAAGCGAAAUUUCCAAGUAACCCUCAGCCCAUCAGCGCAGAUACGGGUCCUCCCUUAAGUAUUUCCUCCUGCUUUGUUUCUCUGGGCUCACCUCUUGUGAGCUUUUCUGAGCUCAGAGUUAGACUUUGGAGAAGCAGCAUCCUGGUUCAAAGUGGGCUCAAGACUCUCUGGAAUGGGGAUGUGUGUGUGGGAGGUGCCAGACGGAUGGUAACCCAGGUCGCUGGGAUCCCCUGAAAACCAAGUUGAACCCUGCCAGCUGUCUCCACACCGUGUAAAGUAGUUGGUGGAGAGUUAAAAUGAUGUUUGGGGCAAAGUGAUUCCCUCUCAAGCUUUAGCCCAGAGCUUAGCCUGCGGACGCUCCGUAGGGAUUUGUCCACUGGCUGGGAUUCCUGACCUGUGGUGUGGGAGACCACGCUUGACCCAGGUGAGCGAGAUGCCACAGCAAGCAGAACACAGAGAGGAUUUCUCGGGGAUUCUGACUGUGUGGGUGGCCUGAGAUGCCCAGUGGUUCUGGAUGAACAAAGUGUUCAGUAGUCAGAAGCAAAAAAAUAAGUAACCAAAACCAAGAUGUUAGAACUCAACUCCGUACUGAAGAUACGUCAAAGUCCUGCAGCCGAAGGCCACCAGGAGCAUGUCUGUGGUUAAACAAGGGGGAUUUAUGACUAGUUGCAGUGAGAGAGAACGUACAGCUUGGGGACAGAGGGCAUCUCAGUGUAAGACGUUGUUGGAAAGAAACUGUUACAGGAUUUGGGCUCUGGUUGGGUAAUUUGGGGGAGGGUGUAAGGAAACAGAGGUUUGCACUAAAUAACUGGGAAUUGUCAAAAAGCAGGAACAAGUCUGUAAGUGAGUAUCUUAAUAAAUCUCAUCCAGAGGCAGGGCACACUAGAGCCAAGAUAAAGCAAGAAUUGGUAAAGAUGUGAUAGCCACUUAUUUAGUAAGAUUGGAUGAUUUGGGUAUCUCGUGUGACCUGGGUCUGAGUGGAUGCUCUGAGAUUAUUUAUGUCCCUUGAGAGAAUGCAAGGCUCAGUGGGAGCAUCAGGCCAGAUUGUGAUAACACUGAAGAUUCCACAUAAGGUCACAUCCAUACACACAUCAGGGAAGCUUCUUUUCUUUCUCAGAUUUCACUGAAGAAGUCAAGCAAGGACAUAGACACCUCCCGGGUCCCCAACUCACUGUUUCACCCUUGCUUUAUUUCUGUCUGGUUAAUGCAGACUGCCCCAAACUUAGACUCUUGUUAGCACCCCGCCACACACCCACGGUUCUGCGGGGUUGUUGGGUGAUCCUCAUGCCAGGACAGUGCUAGAGCAUGUCCCUCUGCACGCUGAAAGCCCAUCUACUUCGAACGGCCCUUUGGUAACACACAGAAACAUCAAAAUGGAUUCAAAAUGGGUUUACCUGAACUAGAAAAUAGAAGGAUUUAAAGACUUGGGCAAGGGGAUGCAUGUCUGUUGAAGGUCCCAUUGAGAACAGUUCAAGGAGACAAAAAACCUAUUUCCAACAGAGCUACAUGCACAGCUCCUCAAAUAUUAGAUGCCAAGUAAGGUCAUACGGCAGUUCACCUGGCACACACAUUUGAACUCCAAAGUCAAGGGACACUGAAAGUAAUGUUGGUUGGGAAUAUAUUGGGCCGAAGAGUUUCGAGGACUUUAAGUGGGAGCCCACUAGGGGAAGGUGAGCACAUCUGCACCAGCUCUGGAGUCAGAGGAGCGGCCCCCUCUGCAUUCAUAUCCGUCCCUUGGAGGGGAAGAGGGAGUCCUCUGGGGUUGAAGGAGCUCAGUGUUAGCUUGUCCUUCCAGAUGAAAGUUAUCCCAUCCCACCACCACAUCACGGAUGCUUGCCAAAGAGUCUCGACAACGAAGACGUUGAUCUCCUGCUGAGCUGUAAAGUCUUAAAUGGCAGAGAACAUUCACUUCACCAGAUUUGAGCACAUGGCAUUUAUUGUCUACUGGGAAAAUGAGGCUUUGAGAAUUUAAAUUAAUUGGUCAAGGUCCCCCAGUUAGUGGGCAACAGCUGGAAUUUAG